CCUACGGGAGGCAGCAGUGGGGAAUCUUGCACAAUGGGGGAAACCCUGAUGCAGCGACGCCGCGUGAGUGAAGAAGUAAUUCGUUAUGUAAAGCUCUAUCAGCAGGGAAGAAAAUGACGGUACCUGAGUAAGAAGCUCCGGCUAACUACGUGCCAGCAGCCGCGGUAAUACGUAGGGGGCAAGCGUUAUCCGGAUUUACUGGGUGUAAAGGGAGCGUAGACGGCAGUGCAAGUCUGGAGUGAAAGGCGUGGGCUCAACCCUCGGACUGCUCUGGAAACUGUACGGCUGGAGUGCAGGAGAGGUAAGUGGAAUUCCUAGUGUAGCGGUGAAAUGCGUAGAUAUUAGGAGGAACACCAGUGGCGAAGGCGGCUUACUGGACUGUAACUGACGUUGAGGCUCGAAAGCGUGGGGAGCAAACAGGAUUAGAUACCCGAGUAGUC
rnacentral:rRNA from 1 species